rnacentral:lncRNA from 1 species
GUUGCCUUCGUCCAUGCAAUCAUGGACUAAGUUAGCCUUGGUUGCCUUCGUCCAUGCAUGCAUGGACUAAGUCUGUUGUGUUAGUCCAUGCAAGCAUGAACUAAGUUAGGGUUAGUUGCCUUAGUGCAUGCAUGCAUGGACUAAGUCUGUUGUGUUAGUCCAUGCAUGCAUGGACUAAGUUAACGUUAGUUACCUUCGUCCAUGCAUGC